rnacentral:rRNA from 1 species
UACGUAGGGACCAAGCGUUGUCCGGAAUCAUUGGGCGUAAAGAGCGUGUAGGCGGCUUGUUAAGUCUUGCGUGAAAUCUCGGGGCUCAACCCCGAGCGGUCGUGAGAAACUGGCAGGCUAGAGUGCGGGAGAGGAGAGUGGAAUUCCUGGUGUAGCGGUGAAAUGCGCAGAUAUUAGGAAGAACACCAGUGGCGAAGGCGGCUUACUGGUCCGGAACUGACGCUGAGGUGCGAAAGCGUGGGGAGCAAACAGG